GCCUUGUUGAGGACCUUGGUUGUGUGUUUGGGUUCAGCAGCACUUUUAAUAAGUGUUGUUACAGUCAACAUCUGGACAAGAACUAAAGGGAAAGAAACCCGGAUGGAAGAAAUCAUGCAGCUGGAUGAGGUGGUUGAAGGAGACGACUCGGUGAACUACGUAAACGUUGGAGAGCCUUCUGCCUCCGUCUCACUGGACUGAUGGACGACGUGAAGCCACCACAGAGUCCCUGAUGUCAGACGCCAUGACGCCGUUGUCCACGGCAACAGACGCUUUAAGAGGCUUCAGUGCAGAAACGCUUGUGUUUCACUUUAAACGGGACAAAGAUGCUUCAGUCUUUAUACAGACUGAAUGUUUC